AUACCAGCCCCGCGAGCGGUCGGGGUGCUUACUGGGCCUAAAGCGCCCGUAGCCGGCUCGGCAAGUCCCCUCCUAAAGCCCCGGGCUCAACCCGGGGACUGGAGGGGAUACUGCCGGGCUAGGGGGCGGGAGAGGCCGAGGGUACUCCCGGGGUAGGGGCGAAAUCCUAUAAUCCCGGGAGGACCACCAGUGGCGAAGGCGCUCGGCUGGAACGCGCCCGACGGUGAGGGGCGAAAGCCGGGGGAGCGAACCGGAUUAGAAACCCUAGUAGUCC
rnacentral:rRNA from 1 species